AGUGGCGAACGGGUGAGUAACGCGUAGGCAAUCUGCCUUCUAGAUGGGGACAACAUCCCGAAAGGGGUGCUAAUACCGAAUGUUGUAGUAUUUCCGCAUGGAGAUGCUACUAAAGGUGGCCUCUGAAUAUGCUACCGCUAGAAGAUGAGCCUGCGUCUGAUUAGCUAGUUGGAGGGGUAACGGCCCACCAAGGCUUCGAUCAGUAGCCGGUCUGAGAGGAUGAACGGCCACACUGGGACUGAGACACGGCCCAGACUCCUACGGGAGGCAGCAGUGGGGAAUCUUCCGCAAUGGACGAAAGUCUGACGGAGCAACGCCGCGUGAGUGAAGAAGGUUUUCGGAUCGUAAAGCUCUUUCGUCAGGGACGAACGUAUUUCUUGUAAAUAAUGAGAGAUAGUGACGGUACCUGAAUAAGAAGCCACGGCUAACUACGUGCCAGCAGCCGCGGUAAUACGUAGGUGGCAAGCGUUGUCCGGAAUUAUUGGGCGUAAAGCGCGCGCAGGCGGGAUAUCAAGUCUGUCUUAAAAGUGCGAGGCUCAACCUCGUGAGGGGACAGAAACUGGUAUUCUUGAGUGUCGGAGAGGAAAGUGGAAUUCCAAGUGUAGCGGUGAAAUGCGUAGAGAUUUGGAAGAACACCAGUGGCGAAGGCGACUUUCUGGACGAUGUCUGACGCUGAGGCGCGAAAGCUAGGGGAGCGAACGGGAUUAGAUACCCCGGUAGUCCUAGCC
rnacentral:rRNA from 1 species